rnacentral:lncRNA from 10 species
UCAGCUGGACUGACAGGCAAAAUAUCUGUGUCCGUGUACGUUAUUCAUCUGUCACUGGGUCAAGGUCUCCGGGACAGACCCCCUACAGCUGGCGCUCCGUGUGAGGAAUGCUGCGAAGGAUCACGACGGACCCCCCAAAAUGAAGGUGAAAAGGACCGCAGAGUCAGUGAGUCAGAUACAAAGCUGGAAUAAGAGGAAUGACCACUUCGUCUGACAGACCUGUUGCUGCACACAUCUGUACCCUUCGGUCAACAGAACCCGAUGCAAAGAACAGAAAAGGGAGAGAUGUGGGAGUUCAGACAGGCUGGUGGCGUGUCCAGAAUUUAUUCCUUCCGGUGGGUUCUUGGUCUC